AGUGGGGGAUAACGUAGCGAAAGUUACGCUAAUACCGCGUAUGCCCUGAGGGGGAAAGGAGGGGAUCGCAAGACCUUUCGCUUUCGGAGUGGCCGAUAUCGGAUUAGCUAGUAGGUGAGGUAAAGGCUCACCUAGGCGACGAUCCGUAGCUGGUCUGAGAGGACGACCAGCCACACUGGGACUGAGACACGGCCCAGACUCCUACGGGAGGCAGCAGUGGGGAAUUUUGGACAAUGGGCGCAAGCCUGAUCCAGCCAUGCCGCGUGAGUGAAGAAGGCCUUCGGGUUGUAAAGCUCUUUCGGACAGAAAGAAAUCCUAUCCGCUAAUACCGGGUGGGGAUGACGGUACUGUAAGAAGAAGCACCGGCUAACUACGUGCCAGCAGCCGCGGUAAUACGUAGGGUGCGAGCGUUAAUCGGAAUUACUGGGCGUAAAGCGUGCGCAGGCGGUUUGGUAAGACAGACGUGAAAUCCCCGGGCUUAACCUGGGAACUGCGUUUGUGACUGCAAGGCUAGAGUGUGGCAGAGGGGGGUAGAAUUCCG
rnacentral:rRNA from 1 species